rnacentral:rRNA from 1 species
AGCACGGUAACGUGUGGAGGUGACCGGUACUAAUAGGCCGAGGGCUUGUCCUCAGUUG